rnacentral:rRNA from 1 species
GUGGGGAAUCUUCCGCAAUGGACGAAAGUCUGACGGAGCAACGCCGCGUGAAGGAAGAAGGUCUUCGGAUCGUAAACUUCUAUCCUUGGUGAAGAUAAUGACGGUAGCCAAGAAGGAAGCCCCGGCUAACUACGUGCCAGCAGCCGCGGUAAUACGUAGGGGGCAAGCGUUGUCCGGAAUGAUUGGGCGUAAAGGGCGCGUAGGCGGCCUGGUAAGUCUGGAGUGAAAGUCCUGCUUUUAAGGUGGGAAGUGCUUUGGAUACUGUCGGGCUUGAGUGCAGGAGAGGUAAGUGGAAUUCCCGGUGUAGCGGUGAAAUGCGUAGAGAUCGGGAGGAACACCAGUGGCGAAGGCGACUUACUGGACUGUAACUGACGCUGAGGCGCGAAAGUGUGGGGAGCAAACAGGAUUAGAAACCCCAGUAGUCC